UUAUUUAUGAAACUGAAAUAGAGGACGUCAAAAUAGUGUUGAAGAGGGAUGCUCUGUUGGAGACUGAUAUCGUAAUCAUUACAAGGGAAAGACCGGUUAAAAGGCAUAGAAUUGGAAUAAACUAUCGACAGUACAGAAGCUGCUCAAUUUGAGCGAUCAUAUCAACGAAAUAGUGACAAGGUACGGUGAUGGAAGCGUUAGCCUGAUGAAACACUUCAAUGUUGAAGCUGACAUUAUUGUCAAGUUACAAACAUGCGGGAAUUCCAUCCAGAUCGACAUUCAAAGAUAUUGCAAAAUAGAAAGAGUUCCUUUGAGAGUUGGAGUUACAAUUCCUGUAAAUACAUUUCUUCGAGUCGUUGAAGUAUUUAAAGAGUUAAUGGAGGAAGCUCAGUCGAACUAAUCCGGGUAGACAGGACAUACAAUUUAAACAUACGCACAGAGAUACUUUAACAUUUGAACAGACUUUAAAGGAUCAGUCUUGAUAGCUAUAAUGAACUUAACUUUUUUCGGUUACAAGAAUUUGGUAUAUGUUUACGAGCGCGGAUGAAGACUUAAUACUAGUUUAUAAGUAAUUUGAAAUAAAAAAUGUAGAUUUGUUAUAGUUUCUAUAGUCCUACAGUUAUGCAAAUCAUAUUCUUCUUGAGUGUUGAAGUUACAUGUGCAGUUUAAACAAUAAGUUUUCAUUUUCAAUACACUAUUUAUUACUUUCUCAUAAACUUAAUACCCAUCAGAUCUGAAGCAGAAUAACUACCAAGUUAUCGUUUCUCACUUAACAAUCGAAAAAUCUAUACCUAUU